UAUAUGAAGGCAAUUUACCUGUGUCAAAUUUAUAUACGAGGUUACACAUAAAUGGACUAUGCUUGCACGCAAUUUCAAUACUGUUUUAGGUAUAUUUCAGGAACACAGCGAUGACGUAUAGAUUGACAGUUUUGGCAAUUUGUGUUUUAAAAAGUCAUGAGUCCAUUUCAACGCCGGAUCUAUCUCCAGAGCAUGUUGAUGUGUUUGAAAAUGAAAGUAUAAAGUUAACAUGCAGUGUAUCACUUCCUGGCACAACAUUUCGAUGGUCUAACACUCCUAAUGUGUGGAACAGAAUAGAAUGUUACAAUAACAAAAGUUAUCAGUUAUUUACAGGCUUUCUCUCAGAAGGCAAACAUUUAUACGCAUUUUAUUGUUUUGGAAAUGGAAGUUUUACUUUGGAAAUAUUACGUGUUGAGGCUAGUCAAAACGGUCAAGUAUGGCAAUGUGGAAGCUUAUUUGACAGAAGUAAUGGAGUGACAAUCAAUGUAAAAGGUAAUAAUUUCUUUUGCCAUUUU